ensembl:lncRNA
GUGAGGAAACAUUAGAAACAUUGAUCUACAGCAGAAUGCUUCUCCUGCAGCUCACUCUGCUCUUUGUGCUCGUGCUUGGAGGCAGCAGUGACAUCAUCAGCAUCUAUCACAGAGCUGGAGAUGAGGUCAUCAUGUCCUGUAACAGUGUGAAUUCAUCUGAAACAUCAUGUUCUAGCUUUAAAUGGUUGUACUUCGGAUACAGAUCUAUUGAUACCAUUGUUAGUGAUGGACAGAUUAAUGAAGAUUCACCUCAAGCUGAUAAACUGAGUCUGGGCCGUAGAUGUUCUUUGACCAUCACAAACAUCUCCUCUGAGGACGCAGGACGUUACAUCUGUUCCUAUGGGAAAACAUUUGAACACAACACAGUUGUGUCUCUGAACAUUUUAACACUCUCAGCAAAACAAAGCACUGAUCCAGUGGGAGGAGUCACACUGACGUGCACUCUGUGGGGGUACGCCAACCCCUAUUGUGAAGAAGACAGCCUGAGAUGGCUGGAUGAGGAGAGAGAUGAACUGAAGCAAGAUGAUUAUGAAGUCUAUUAUGAUAGACAGAUGAACUGUGUUUCUGAUCUGAUAAUAACACAUCAGAUUAACCACAGCAGAAGAUACACCUGCCAGUUUGUUAUAAACAAUGAAGUGAAGAUUUCUGCUGACUACACACUUGUGUCUACAGCUCCAAACAAGAUCAUCUUCAUCCUCAACAUUGCAAAGAUUUGCCUGCUGAUCAUCCUGGUUGUUAUUGUUACUACUGUUCAGAUUAAAUACAGGAGGAGGACUGGAGCAGCAGAAGAUGCUCAAGAUCAAGAUUGUGUUCCUGAUGAGCAGGACAGCAGAGUGAUCUAUGAAAAUGUAGAGAAUCACCAAGGCCCUGCCCAGCACCACGGUCAGAAAAAAAGAGGAGGAAGAGGAAGAAGAAGUGAUGUCUUCAACAGUCAAAGAAGCAGUGAAGAAGAUAGUGUGUGAGGAGAGGACAGAGGAAUUUUACACCAGCUUUAACUGUACAUGAAAAGAAGCUGUAGCAGUAACACGCCUCCACUGAUGUGUGUGCAUUUCAUAAGUUCUUUUUACGCAGUGACUCUUCUUUUUGUGGCUCAUUUUUUUACAGUUUGAAAAGAGCUGAUCCACCAAACCAAAGUGUAACAAUGUGGAAACGUCAAAGCGAGAAGCAGACGCCUCUGAUGUAGACUGGCAGUUGUCAGUCGAAACAUGUCAGGAGAUCAAAGUGGAUUUAUUAAAGAACAGUUGCUUGAAAAAAAGAAACCAUAACAUAACAUUAUCAUCAGAAGUUUGAAAAGAACAUCAAGAUCUUUUGUCGGCUGUCAAUGUUUAUUUUCAGGGAUUUUUCUUUGUCUAAUUACAACUUUAUUCUAAUAAUAUUAAAUAGUUUUUUCUCAUAAUAGAAUAAGUUUACUUUUGUAAUAUUACGACUUAAUGACUGUUAAAAAUGUCUUAUACUAAUACAACUUUACUCUUAAAGUCUAUAAAAACGAUGCUCACACUGAUCUUCUUUCUUCAUCUCUGACCCAAGAUAAGCUGUAAAUAUGUCUAAAUUUACUUUCUAUUAUCAGCUUCUAUUUUUCUCACUGUCUUCUUCUUUUCUGUUUGUUCCUGCUAGAAAAUUUCCACUUCACAUUGUUUGCUUUCAUCUCUGUAAUUAUCUCUGCAAAGAGUGAGAGUCACAUUGUGAAAAAAACAAAAUAAAACAAAAAAACACCACA